rnacentral:lncRNA from 1 species
AGACUGAGAAAAAUUCUGCCCUGCAGCAGGGAGCAUCAUCAUGUCACCGUGAUCCUCCUCGUCAUCAGGAUGUGCACCCAGCAUCUGCCUCCAGAGCUCUGACUCAGCCCAGGCCCAGGCAAAGUGUCUGCAUGCCUCAAGUGGCAGAAAAACAAGAUUGGCUUUGCCAGUGUUUGUAAUCCAUCUCCAAGCGCUGCUCCACGUGCUCUGACUCUUUAUCUGCAGGGCUCCUGCCUUCUCCUGUCACACAUUGAGCCCAGCUGCCUCAGAGCUGCUGCCCCACACAGUCCUGUCUGCAGCACACCUGGGAGCUCUUCAGCAUCUUGGCUUUCAUCUGCUGUGGAAGGUAUUUACUCCUUGCUCUGGGAUUGUUUGAACUCAUUGCUGCAUUAACUCGCAAUGCCAGACAGCUCUAAAGAGCGGUGGUAACAAAAUGCGAUGGAUUCUGUACAUUAGCAACGAAAUACAUAUUCAGAGAAGCUAAUCCCAGUAGUGUUUCCUUGCACUGAGCUAGCACAGAGAUUGAUUUAGGUGUUACUUCAUUCCUGUGCUCUGAGAAUCCCAGCUCUCCUUCAGCUGCCACCCCAGCACCAAACCUGAGGCCAGAGGAGCACAGCCCACACUUCAGCACUCUCAGCAUCCUGAGUGUGUCAGGCAGCUGCUGCACAACAAAUCUGCUCAUGCUCCCAGGGAGCAGAGACAGUUUGAACCGGGGCCAUAUUUCAUAUUUCAGCUGGACCUUGUGGGCUGCUGGGCACAGACCCAGC